CCGGUGCUUGCAUCGGGGAUUAGUGGCGAACGGGUGAGUAACACGUGAGUAACCUGCCCUUAACUCUGGGAUAAGCCUGGGAAACUGGGUCUAAUACCGGAUAUGACUCCUCAUCGCAUGGUGGGGGGUGGAAAGCUUUUUUGUGGUUUUGGAUGGACUCGCGGCCUAUCAGCUUGUUGGUGAGGUAAUGGCUCACCAAGGCGACGACGGGUAGCCGGCCUGAGAGGGUGACCGGCCACACUGGGACUGAGACACGGCCCAGACUCCUACGGGAGGCAGCAGUGGGGAAUAUUGCACAAUGGGCGGAAGCCUGAUGCAGCGACGCCGCGUGAGGGAUGACGGCCUUCGGGUUGUAAACCUCUUUCAGUAGGGAAGAAGCGAAAGUGACGGUACCUGCAGAAGAAGCGCCGGCUAACUACGUGCCAGCAGCCGCGGUAAUACGUAGGGCGCAAGCGUUAUCCGGAAUUAUUGGGCGUAAAGAGCUCGUAGGCGGUUUGUCGCGUCUGCCGUGAAAGUCCGGGGCUCAACUCCGGAUCUGCGGUGGGUACGGGCAGACUAGAGUGAUGUAGGGGAGACUGGAAUUCCUGGUGUAGCGGUGAAAUGCGCAGAUAUCAGGAGGAACACCGAUGGCGAAGGCAGGUCUCUGGGCAUUAACUGACGCUGAGGAGCGAAAGCAUGGGGAGCGAACAGGAUUAGAUACCCUGGUAGUCCAUGCCGUAAACGUUGGGCACUAGGUGUGG
rnacentral:rRNA from 1 species